rnacentral:rRNA from 1 species
UACGGAGGGGGCUAGCGUUGUUCGGAAUUACUGGGCGUAAAGCGCACGUAGGCGGCUUUGUAAGUUAGAGGUGAAAGCCCGGAGCUCAACUCCGGAAUUGCCUUUAAAACUGCAUCGCUAGAGUUGUGGAGAGGUAAGUGGAAUUCCGAGUGUAGAGGUGAAAUUCGUAGAUAUUCGGAAGAACACCAGUGGCGAAGGCGACUUACUGGACACAUACUGACGCUGAGGUGCGAAAGCGUGGGGAGCAAACAGG